rnacentral:sRNA from 1 species
AUGUUGCAGUCGCCCACAGCGGUUCAGAGCGCGCCGUCGGCAUCCAUCUGCCGACGCCUGCUCGCUACGUUUUUAUGGCC